rnacentral:pre_miRNA from 1 species
AUGCGGAUGGUUAAGGAAUGGGGAGAAUGACCUUGACAGGAGAGUCCCUGAGGUGCCAGUCCCCAGAUCAAACCACCGCAGAC